UGUCUUUUAAAUGAAGACCUGUAUGAAUGGCAUAACGAGGGCUUAACUGUCUCCUCCCCCCAGUCAAUGAAAUUGAUCUCCCCGUGCAGAAGCGGGGAUAACAACAUAAGACGAGAAGACCCUGUGGAGCUUAAAAUCACGAACAGACCAUGUCAAGGACAACAAACAAGAACAUCAAACAAAUUGGCCACUGUUUAUGUAUUUUUGGUUGGGGCGACCGCGGGGUAAUAAAUAACCCCCAUGUGGACUAAGAAAACAUUCUUAAAACUAAGAGCCCCCGCUCUAAGUAACAGAACUUCUGACCUUAAUGAUCCGGCCUGGCCGAUCAACGAACCCAGUUACCCCAGGGAUAACAGCGCAAUCCUCUUCUAGAGCCCAUAUCGACAAGAGGGUUUACGACCUCGAUGUUGGAUCAGGACAUCCUAAUGGUGUAGCCGCUAUUAAGGGUUUGUUUGUUCAACAAUUAAAGU
rnacentral:rRNA from 1 species